ensembl:lncRNA
CUUUCCUCUCCCAUUGCGCCCUCGCGCUCUGCAAGCCUACUGUAUUCUACUGCAGAGUGGGGCGCGUGACGUCAACGAACGCUGGAGCGGCUCCUUGGCUUGAGCGAAAAAUGGGGAGAAAUUGCGAGAAUUCUGAAUGGAAAUGGAAACAUUCUCAUGGAAAAUUUCUGCUCCAUGUUCACACGGAGUGACCCAGAAUCAGCGUCAGGCUGCCGCCACCAAGAGAAAACGCUGGCAGAUGCCAGAACAUUCUGGAGGCAGCUAGCAGAGCUAGCCCCUCCACUACAAAGGUGCCCCCCAUCAGGACCUCCUCAGGCUGGGUAUUACAAGGAUAGCAGCUCACAGGGGAAGCAGAAGGAGAAGUGAUGCAAGAGCAUGAACCCAUACUUCACAGGUCCUGAUGCUGCACUGUCCCAGCGAUGCGAGAGAUGGAAAAAGAGGAAGACAGCCUGGAGAUGAAGGGGGCAGCUCGCCCCUGACAAACUGCCCCAGUGUGGUUUGCCUUUCAGUUUCAAUUUUCUUUACCGUUCCUCCUGUAUUUGUGUACAUAAAACACCCUCCAGGGCCCUGAACACUUGUCA